UACGUAGGGACCGAGCGUUGUCCGGAUUCAUUGGGCGUAAAGAGCUCGUAGGCGGUCUGUCGCGUCGGAUGUGAAAAUCCAGGGCUCAACCCUGGACCUGCAUUCGAUACGGGCAGACUAGAGUUCGGUAGGGGAGACUGGAAUUCCCGGUGUAGCGGUGAAAUGCGCAGAUAUCGGGAGGAACACCAGUAGCGAAGGCGGCUCGCUGGGCCAUUCCUGACGCUGAGACGCGAAAGCUAGGGGAGCGAACAGG
rnacentral:rRNA from 1 species